AUGGAGAAGAAUCAGGAGGGUCCAGGUGGGAGGUGGGCCCCGCGGAAGGCUCACUGGACAGAGAUCCUAUGCAGAGGCAAGCGUGGGAAGAGCGUUCCCGAUGUGGUCACAAGCACGUGCAAAGGGCCUGAGGUCGGAUGUGUCCAGCCAGGUUGGCCGGCAGGGAGGCCUGCAAAGCAAGAGUGUGGCCUGGGAGCGGAGGCUGAGGUUGGCACAGGGGAUAUAGGUAGGACACUGGGUGGGGAUGAACGCAUGGAGCCGCUCCUCCCCCCAACCCCAAACAAAAGCUGGCACCUGGCGUGGCUUUGGCACAGCCUCCCGCGGGUUGGGAGGACUCACGGGCGGACUGGGAGGACUCUCUGGCAUCUUUGUUUUCUCCCCUCCCCCCAGGCACCACUCCCCCAGCAUCUCUUCACUUGCUCCUCACUACAGCCAGAGCCCAUCACCAGCAUGUCUUCCCCUCCUGCUUCUGUGCGGCCACCCAGGAUAGCAUUUGACACCUCCCUGAGGUCCCCACCUGCCGCUGGUGGCUGUCUCCACCCAACCGUCCUCCCCGGAGAGGAGGGGGCGCGCUGCUGUUCUCUGGAGAGUCGCACAGCUUGUGUCUACCAGCGCACGGGCUCGGCGUCACGGAGGCAGGUCGGACCCAUCCUGUCCCACAGCCAGCAUCAGCGCCUCCAGCUUGGACACACCUGCGUCUUGCGCCCAGGGCCCUCUGUCCUCGCCCGGCGGAGCACGUGCAUGCGCUCGACGACGCGCCAGCCCCUGGAACCCUCUCCAAGGGCUCCCAUCAGCCCCCACACGGCUUGCUCUGGCUCCCUUGCUGGCUGUGGGGUGUCCCGCCAGGUGGGUGGGGCUUCUCUGUCACCGGUCCCCUGGGAUGUGGGCGGAAGGGGAGGACGUGGUCUGGGUCGGUGCACACCUGCUGGGACCCCCCUGCACGCGCCUCCCCUGCUAGGCGGCCACCUGGAAGCGCACACAAGGGGCGUCACGGCCACAUUUUUAAAAUUCAUUUUCCAAAUUCAGUGACCGGGCAGGAACCUGGACCCCCUCCCUCCCCCCGCAAGUGGUUUCCCGGUUCCUUCUGGGGUGUCUAAACGGGGCUCACGGAAGCCUCAAGCCAAGCCUGGAGAAUGUGGAGUCUUCCCUGUUCUUCUUUUCCCUGCUUUGCUCUCAGCCGCUCGUGCCUGCCGCCCCCAGGCUCCUGAAAAAAGCUGCCUGCUGUCCCUGUCGCCUGCCACUAGUGCCUUGGCCUGCAGGUGCCCGCAGAGCUCCAGCCUGUGAGCUGCCCCUGCGCCUCAGGGUGGGGUGAGGCUCCACGACAACUUCACCAGCCCCAACCCCUCCCUUCAAAUAAAAACACGCGUAAGUCCUUUCUCCA
rnacentral:lncRNA from 12 species